rfam:Canis lupus familiaris chromosome 18, whole genome shotgun sequence.
GGGGGGAGGCCGGAUCCCGGGCUGUGUCCCCGGCGCCCUGGGCUCUGGGACCUGCGCUGUUGGAUUCGCGCUCCCGGCUGCGCAGCCGCCU